GACGAACGCUGGCGGCGUGCCUAAUACAUGCAAGUCGAGCGGACGGGCGAUACGCUUGCUUUUCUGACGUUAGCCGCGGACGUGUGUGUCACGCGUGUAUACCCUCCCUAUCUUUCUGGUAUCAUCACGGGACACCGGCUCUUAUACCGGAUAAUCUCCUGCUCCGCAUUGUUCGAAGGUGAAUGACGGCCUUUCUGUCACUUCUCGCUGGCUCCGCGCUGCAUUAGCUAGUUGGUAAGUUACCGGCCUACCACGGCAACGAUGCAUAGCCGACCGGAGAGGGUGGUCGGCCACACGGGAGCUGAGACGCGGUCCUGACUCCUACGAGAGGCAGCAGUAGGGAAUCUUCCGCAGUGGGCGGAAGCCUGGCGGAGCAACGCCGCGUGAGUGACGAAGGCCUUCGGAGCGGAAAACUCUGUUAUGAGGGAAGAACAGAUGUGUAAGGAACUGUGGACAUCGUGACGGUACCGAAUCAGAAAGCAACGGCUAACUACGUG
rnacentral:rRNA from 1 species